GUUGUGUUUUUUUUUUUUUU
rnacentral:miRNA from 1 species